AGUGAACGCUGGCGGUAGGCCUAACACAUGCAAAUCGAACGGCAGCACAGUAAGGGCUUGCUCUUACGGGUGGCGAGUGGCGGACGGGUGAGGAAUACAUCGGAAUCUACUUUUUCGUGGGGGAUAACGUAGGGAAACUUACGCUAAUACCGCAUACGACCUACGGGUGAAAGCAGGGGAUCUUCGGACCUUGCGCGAUUGAAUGAGCCGAUGUCGGAUUAGCUAGUUGGCGGGGUAAAGGCCCACCAAGGCGACGAUCCGUAGCUGGUCUGAGAGGAUGAUCAGCCACACUGGAACUGAGACACGGUCCAGACUCCUACGGGAGGCAGCAGUGGGGAAUAUUGGACAAUGGGCGCAAGCCUGAUCCAGCCAUACCGCGUGGGUGAAGAAGGCCUUCGGGUUGUAAAGCCCUUUUGUUGGGAAAGAAAAGCAGCAGGUUAAUACCCCGCUGUUCUGACGGUACCCAAAGAAUAAGCACCGGCUAACUUCGUG
rnacentral:rRNA from 1 species